rnacentral:rRNA from 1 species
AGGUUACUGCUAUCGUUGUUCGCGUAAGCCAUGCGAGUCAUAUGUUUUUCGUGAACAUGGCGUACUGCUCAGUAACACGUGGAUACCUGCCCUUGGGUCCGGCAUAACCCCGGGAAACUGGGAAUAAUUCCGGAUAACGCACAUAUGCUGGAAUGCUUUAUGCGUCAAAUGGAUUCGUCCGCCCAAGGAUGGGUCUGCGGCCUAUCAGGUAGUAGUGGGUGUAAUGUACCUACUAGCCUACGACGGGUACGGGUUGUGAGAGCAAGAGCCCGGAGAUGGAUUCUGAGACAUGAAUCCAGGCCCUACGGGGCGCAGCAGCCGCGAAAACUUUACAAUGCGGGAAACCGUGAUAAGGGGACACCGAGUGCCAGCAUCAUAUGCUGGCUGUCCGGGUGUGUAAAUUACACCUGUUAGCAAGGGCCGGGCAAGACCGGUGCCAGCCGCCGCGGUAACACCGGCGGCCCGAGUGGUGAUCGUGAUUAUUGGGUCUAAAGGGUCCGUAGCCGGUUUGGUCAGUCCUCCGGGAAAUCUGACGGCUUAACCGUUAGGCUUUCGGGGGAUACUGCCAGACUUGGAACCGGGAGAGGUAAGAGGUACUACAGGGGUAGGAGUGAAAUCUUGUAAUCCCUGUGGGACCACCUGUGGCGAAGGCGUCUUACCAGAACGGGUUCGACGGUGGGGGACGAAAGCUGGGGGCACGAACCGGAUUAGAUACCCGGGUAGUCCCAGCCGUAAACGAUGCUCGCUAGGUGUCAGGCAUGGCGCGACCGUGUCUGGUGCCGCAGGGAAGCCGUGAAGCGAGCCACCUGGGAAGUACGGCCGCAAGGCUGAAACUUAA